rnacentral:rRNA from 1 species
UACGGAGGGGGCCAGCGUUGUUCGGAAUUAUUGGGCGUAAAGGGCGCGUAGGCGGUCGGGUAAGUCUGACGUGAAAUCCCUUGGCUCAACCAAGGAACUGCGUCUUAAACUGCCCGGCUUGAGUCCGGGAGAGGGUAGUGGAAUUCCCAGUGUAGCGGUGAAAUGCGCAGAUAUCAGGAGGAACACCGGUGGCGAAGGCGGGACUCUGGGCCGAUACUGACGCUGAGGAGCGAAAGCGUGGGGAGCGAACAGG